rnacentral:lncRNA from 1 species
CCAGCACAACACUCCACAAGUCUUCCAACAAAGCAACGAAGAAAAAACCAUGUGUUCCUUCUGCAGGAGACUGGGAGGAGAGACCCCACAAGGAACGAGCAGGGACAGGAAGGUGCAAAACAAGGACUUAGACACUUAUUCCACCUCUCCUGCUGAAAGCAACAGAGCACAACCACCUGAAGACCUCACCUCAAACCUCAUCCAGAGCUGGGACUUGUCCACAAACCACUGAAGUUUUCUGUAACCUUCAGAAAAUGCUGAAGCCUCCUACAGCCCCACCAGUUUGGGAAUGUGGAUGACAAACUCUGCAGGUUGACCUUUUGCAAGCUCUCCCCUCAUUAAAAGCAGAAGCUCUGACCAUCCUCCCCAGAGCCAUGGCCUGAGGGACUGCAUCAGUGACUGAACUCCUCGGUGCAUCCUUUCAGAAAGAUCUGGCAGACCUGGAGCCCCCCCUGGAAUUUUUUCCCCCUCACAGAUGCCCCACUGCUGUGGGUACCAAACUAGAAAUGGAGCCUCUGAUCUACUUCAGCAGAGAACAGCCUGAAAAUUUCCUUCCUCCUUCCAACAGAGCAACUUCCCAAAGCAAAGCAGUCUCCAGCCAAAGGAGAAGGAGCAAAGAGAAGCAGGGCUUUGCUGUUAAGACUCACUGAGCUGCACUUCCAGCUGAAUUUCUCACAAAUUCCAGAGAAAGCAGGAUGGAAACUAUGGUUUGGAUGGGAAGGGACUUCAAAGCUCAGCUCAUGCCCCUUUCCAGUGUCCCAGGUUGCUCCUGGCCCCAUCCAGCCUGGCCUUGGACACUUCCAGGGAUGGAGGUCACUGUAACAGGUUCCCAAGGAAAGGAGCUUUGAGAGAUGAAGCUCAGUGAGGAGGGAUAACCCCAGGAAAGGCUGAACCCCUCCACCUCCCUGCAGUGCUGGGGUAGGCCAUGAAUUACAGGAGUCCUGGAACCCCCAUGCCCAGGGCCUCCCCACCCUCCCAGGGAACAAUUCCUGCCCAUUUUCCCACCUUUAUCUCCACCCUGUCAGUUCAAAACCAUUGCCCUUAUCCUGUCAGAGUGCAGCAGGACUGAUCCUUCCCUGCUUCAGCCACUUCUCCAGUGCCCAAACCAUCAGUGAAGCACAAAACCCUUCGUGCUCUCUGCCCCUGGGGCUCGCCUGCCCUCCUUGGGGGCACGGUUCAGCCUCCCCAGGAGAAUGAGGGUCCCCAAAACAGCCACAACAAACUAAGUAUCA